CAUCAUUCUUGCUCGCUUUGCAGCAAUUCCAGUGACUCUUGGUAUCUGAGCAAUUUGCAAGCACAAACCAUUACUUGCACUUGCUCAUUAAUCAUAUUACCCAUCAUGGUUCGUGCAUUGGGAAACCUUACACCUAGAAUCUUUCUUCAAUCACUGAAUUCCAUAUCUCGCCAAGCUACAUCUUCGCUCAAAAUAAGCGGAGGAGCAAGAGUAUCAGAUCACAGCCCUGGAAAAACUGAUGACAGAGGAGUGUCAGAUGACGCCACUCAGGGGAGCGGCGGAAAAAGUAAUCGUGUGGGGCAAUGAAGAAUUCAGAAUGAUAGCAGUUAGCAAUUUAGAAAGCUGCUUUAAGACUAGUGAUUUUGAGUGUUCGUGAUUAUGAGUGAUUUGGUAGCAUGCAUAAGACAGUAGUAUGAGUGAUUUUGCUUUUUUUGUUUUGAGUAAAUAUAUAUGAGUGAUUUGGUAGCAUGAAUAAGACAGUAGUAUGAUGAGUGAUUUUGCUUUUUUUGUUUUGGGCAAAUAUAUGUGUGUGAUUUGGUAUCAUAAGACAGUAGUAUGAGUCGUUUUGCUUUCUUUUGUUUUGGCUAAAUAUAUAUAUGAGUGAUUUUGCUUUGUGCUUCA